GCUACUACCGAUUGAAUGGUUUAGCGAGAUGCUCGGAUCGGGCCCAGCUCGUGCGAAAGCAUGUGCCGGGACUGAGAAGAAGUUCAAGCUUGAUCAUUUAGAGGAAGUAAAAGUCGUAACAAGGUUUUCGUAGGUGAACCUGCAGAAGGAUCAAUGAUCCUUCUGCAGGUUCACCUACCACUACCAUGUUACGACUUCACCCUAAUUAUCAAAUAUAUAUUCAAAUUAAUAAUUAUUAAAUUUCUUUGUUAAUUCAAAAUAAUUAUUUUAAAUUAUUUAAUUAAUUAAAAAAUUAAAUAAAAAUUAUUAAUUUUUCCAAUAUAAAUAACUUUCUUGGCGUGACGGGCGGUGUGUACUAAACGGA
rnacentral:misc_RNA from 1 species